GACGUAGGGGGCAAGCGUUGUCCGGAAUCAUUGGGCGUAAAGCGCUCGUAGGUGGAUCGGUAAGUCUGCAAAGAAAGACCCGGGCUCAACUCGGGGAACGGUGUGGAUACUACCGAUCUUGAGGCAAUCAGAGGAUGAUGGAAUUCCCGGUGUAGCGGUGAAAUGCGCAGAUAUCGGGAGGAACACCGGUGGCGAAGGCGGUUCUCUGGACCUGUACUGACGCUGAGGAGCGAAAGCGUGGGGAGCGAACAGG
rnacentral:rRNA from 1 species